rnacentral:rRNA from 1 species
AUUGAACGCUGGCGGCAGGCCUAACACAUGCAAGUCGAACGAGUGGCGGACGGGUGAGUAAUGUCUGGGAAACUGCCUGAUGGAGGGGGAUAACUACUGGAAACGGUAGCUAAUACCGCAUACCAUCAGAUGUGCCCAGAUGGGAUUAGCUAGUUGGUGGGGUAACGGCUCACCAAGGCGACGAUCCCUAGCUGGUCUGAGAGGAUGACCAGACACACUGGAACUGAGACACGGUCCAGACUCCGACGGAAGGCAGCAGUGGGGAAUAUUGCACAAUGGGCGCAAGCCUGAUGCAGCCAUGCCGCGUGUAGGAAGAAGUCAUUCGGGUUGUAAAGUACUUUCAGCGGGGAGGCGUUACCCGCAGGAGGAGCACCGGCUAACUCCGUGCCAGCAGCCGCGGUAAUAC